ensembl:snRNA U6 U6 spliceosomal RNA
GUUCACUUUGGCAGAGCACGUACUAAAAUAGGAAUGAUACUGAGAAGAUGAGUUUAGCCCAUACACAAGGAUGAUACACAAAAUUGUUAAGUGCUCCAUUUUUCA